GGAAGGGGUUUUAGGAUUUCUGUUUGUGAGGUAAAAAAAUGGCGGAACAAAGGUGUAGAGGAAUCGUCAAAUGGUUCAGUAACGAGAAGUGCUUUGGGUUCAUAACUCCUAAAGAUGGUUCUACUGAUCUCUUUGUUCACCAGUCCGGUAUUAGAGCUCAGGGUUUCCGUAGUCUCUCUGAUGGUGAGGAAGUAGAGUACGUGAUUGAGUCCGGCAAUGAUGGCCGUUCCAAGGCUGUUGAUGUUACCGGGCCUGAUGGAGCACCGGUCUCUGGAGGUGGUGGUGGUUAUGGUGGCUACGGUGGUAGCCGAGGUGGAAGCCGUGGAUACGGUGAUGGAGACAGUGGAUGUAAUCGAGGAUACGGCGGGGGAAGAGGUGGUGGUGGAGGCUGUUGUUAUCACUGUGGUGAAUCAGGCCACUUCGCUCGUGAUUGUAACCAGAAUGAAGGCGGUGGUGGACGAGGAGGCGGUGGCCGUUGCUACAAAUGUGGCGAGGACGGCCACUUUGCCCGUGAAUGCACCAGUGGUGGUCAGUGAUCGCGGCCUGCUAUGUUUCAGUGUGUUUUGUGGCAUAUGUUCGCCUUUUUUAGUAGUAUUAGUAUUAUUUGAAGCUUUUAGCAUUGUCGAUGAUGCAAUGAAUACUCUCUGUACAAGUAAAAACAUACAUGUUUUUGAAGCAAUAUCAAUUUAUAAGCUGCUUGCUUAAAUCUAUCUUUAAUUUGAAAUUUCACAUCCAUUUUAGGAUUGUAAAUUUCUUUAUUGUUGAAAUGCAUGUUUGGAUCUUUGAGUUAGUGUUGGA
rnacentral:misc_RNA from 1 species